UACGGGGGGAGCAAGCGUUCUUCGGAUUUACUGGGCGUAAAGGGCGCGUAGGCGGCCAGCACAAGUCAGUUGUGAAAUCUCCGGGCUUAACUCGGAAAGGUCAACUGAUACUGUGCGGCUAGAGUGCAGAAGGGGCAACUGGAAUUCUCGGUGUAGCGGUGAAAUGCGUAGAUAUCGAGAGGAACACCUGCGGCGAAGGCGGGUUGCUGGGCUGACACUGACGCUGAUGCGCGAAAGCCAGGGGAGCGAACGGG
rnacentral:rRNA from 1 species